rnacentral:rRNA from 1 species
UACAGAGGUCCCAAGCGUUGUUCGGAUUCAUUGGGCGUAAAGGGUGCGUAGGCGGGUCUUUAAGUCAGGGGUGAAAUCCUGGAGCUCAACUCCAGAACUGCCUUUGAUACUGAAGAUCUUGAGUUCGGGAGAGGUGAGUGGAACUGCGAGUGUAGAGGUGAAAUUCGUAGAUAUUCGCAAGAACACCAGUGGCGAAGGCGGCUCACUGGCCCGAUACUGACGCUGAUGCACGAAAGCGUGGGGAGCAAACAGG